GAUGAAGAACGUAGCGAAAUGCGAUAAGUAAUGUGAAUUGCAGAAUUCAGUGAAUCAUCGAAUCUUUGAACGCACAUUGCGCCCCCUGGUAUUCCGGGGGGCAUGCCUGUCCGAGCGUCAUUACAACCCUCAAGCUCAGCUUGGUGUUGGGCCCCGCUGCCCCGGCGGGCCCUAAAGUCAGUGGCGGUGCCGUCCGGCUCCGAGCGUAGUAAUUCUUCUCGCUCUGGAGGUCCGGUCGUGUGCUCGCCAGCAACCCCCAAUUUUUUUCAGGUUGACCUCGGAUCAGGUAGGGAUACCCGCUGAACUUAAGCAUAUCAAUAAGCGGAGGA
rnacentral:misc_RNA from 1 species